rnacentral:rRNA from 1 species
GACGAACGCUGGCGGCGUGCUUAACACAUGCAAGUCGAACGAUGAACCCGGAGCUUGCUCCGGCGGAUUAGUGGCGAACGGGUGAGUAACACGUGAGUAACCUGCCCUUGACUCUGGGAUAACUGCGGGAAACUGUAGCUAAUACCGGAUACGACCCUCGGCGGCAUCGCCAGGGGGUGGAAAGAAUUUCGGUCAAGGAUGAGCUCGCGGCCUAUCAGCUAGUUGGUGAGGUAAUGGCUCACCAAGGCGACGACGGGUAGCCGGCCUGAGAGGGUGACCGGCCACACUGGAACUGAGGCACGGUCCAGACUCCUACGGGAGGCAGCAGUGGGGAAUAUUGCACAAUGGGCGAAAGCCUGAUGCAGCAACGCCGCGUGAGGGAUGAAGGCCUUCGGGUUGUAAACCUCUUUUAGCAGGGAAGAAGCGAAAGUGACGGUACCUGCAGAAAAAGCACCGGCUAACUACGUGCCAGCCGCCGCCGUAA